UACGAAGGGGGCUAGCGUUGCUCGGAAUCACUGGGCGUAAAGGGUGCGUAGGCGGUCUUUAAGUCAGGGGUGAAAUCCUGGAGCUCAACUCCAGAACUGCCUUUGAUACUGAAGAUCUUGAGUUCGGGAGAGGUGAGUGGAACUGCGAGUGUAGAGGUGAAAUUCGUAGAUAUUCGCAAGAACACCAGUGGCGAAGGCGGCUCACUGGCCCGGUACUGACGCUGAGGCACGAAAGCGUGGGGAUCAAACAGG
rnacentral:rRNA from 1 species